AUGGCGGUCACCAGUGCGAGUGCCGCUGCCUCCCUCUCCGUCACGGCUGCAGCUCACCGCCUCAGGCACCGGCAGCUAUACGCUUGCGCACGUGGGCCCGCGGCGCAACCUCAUCCCCUCCUCAAGCUGAACCGCCGCAGCUACGCGGUCUCGGCGUCGUCGGCGGCGGCCAUGUCUCCUCUGUCCCUGUGGGAAGGCCAAGGCAUCCGGGCGGAGUUGGAUGCGCCCGGAGGAGUGGCCAGCGGUGACGUCAUGGGCCUUCUUCUCCGGGAGCGCAUCAUCUUCCUCGGCAACGAGAUCGAGGACUUCCUCGCCGACGCCGUCGUCAGCCAGCUCCUCCUCCUCGACGCCAUGGACUCCGAGUCUGAUAUCCGGCUCUUCGUCAACUCCCCCGGUGGAUCACUCAGUGCGACAAUGGCUAUCUUCGAUGUAAUGCAGCUGGUGAGGGCAGAUGUAUCCACUAUUGGAAUGGGCAUAGCUGGAUCCACAGCUUCUAUAAUCCUUGGUGGUGGCGCAAAGGGCAAACGAUUUGCCAUGCCCAACACCAGGAUUAUGAUGCAUCAGCCCGUGGGAGGCGCGAGUGGCCAGGCCUUGGAUGUAGAGGUCCAAGCCAAGGAAAUUCUGGCUAGCAAGAGGAAUGUCAUCCGGCUGAUUUCAGGCUUCACGGGGCGCACACUGGAGCAGGUAGAGAAAGACAUCGAUAGGGACCGAUACAUGGGUCCUCUUGAGGCCGUCGAUUACGGGAUCAUCGACGGCGUGAUCGACGAAGACAGCAUCAUGCCACUUGAGCCGGUUCCGGAGAGGGUGAAGCCUAAGUACAACUACGAGGAAAUGUACAAGGACCCUCAGAAGUUCCUUACGCCGCAUGUCCCAGACGAUGAGAUAUACUAA
rnacentral:rRNA from 1 species